GCUGGGUGGAUUAGUGGCGAACGGGUGAGUAACACGUGAGCAACCUGCCCCUGACUCUGGGAUAAGCGCUGGAAACGGCGUCUAAUACUGGAUAUGUCCCAUCACCGCAUGGUGUGUGGGUGGAAAGAUUUUUCGGUUGGGGAUGGGCUCGCGGCCUAUCAGCUUGUUGGUGAGGUAAUGGCUCACCAAGGCGUCGACGGGUAGCCGGCCUGAGAGGGUGACCGGCCACACUGGGACUGAGACACGGCCCAGACUCCUACGGGAGGCAGCAGUGGGGAAUAUUGCACAAUGGGCGGAAGCCUGAUGCAGCAACGCCGCGUGAGGGAUGACGGCCUUCGGGUUGUAAACCUCUUUUAGCAGGGAAGAAGCGAGAGUGACGGUACCUGCAGAAAAAGCACCGGCUAACUACGUGCCAGCAGCCGCGGUAAUACGUAGGGUGCAAGCGUUAUCCGGAAUUAUUGGGCGUAAAGAGCUCGUAGGCGGUCUGUCGCGUCUGCUGUGAAAUUCCGAGGCUCAACCUCGGGCUUGCAGUGGGUACGGGCAGACUAGAGUGCGGUAGGGGAGAUUGGAAUUCCUGGUGUAGCGGUGGAAUGCGCAGAUAUCAGGAGGAACACCGAUGGCGAAGGCAGAUCUCUGGGCCGUAACUGACGCUGAGGAGCGAAAGGGUGGGGAGCAAACAGGCUUAGAUACCCUGGUAGUCCACCCCGUAAACGUUGGGAACUAGUUGUGGGGUCCUUUCCACGGAUUCCGUGACGCAGCUAACGCAUUAAGUUCCCCGCCUGGGGAGUACGGCCGCAAGGCUAAAACUCAAAGGAAUUGACGGGGACCCGCACAAGCGGCGGAGCAUGCGGAUUAAUUCGAUGCAACGCGAAGAACCUUACCAAGGCUUGACAUACACGAGAACGGGCCAGAAAUGGUCAACUCUUUGGACACUCGUGAACAGGUGGUGCAUGGUUGUCGUCAGCUCGUGUCGUGAGAUGUUGGGGUUAAGUCCCGCAACGAGCGCAACCCUCGUUCUAUGUUGCCAGCACGUAAUGGUGGGAACUCAUGGGAUACUGCCGGGGUCAACUCGGAGGAAGGUGGGGAUGACGUCAAAUCAUCAUGCCCCUUAUGUCUUGGGCUUCACGCAUGCUACAAUGGCCGGUACAAUGGGCUGCAAUACCGUGAGGUGGAGCGAAUCCCAAAAAGCCGGUCCCAGUUCGGAUUGAGGUCUGCAACUCGACCUCAUGAAGUCGGAGUCGCUAGUAAUCGCAGAUCAGCAACGCUGCGGUGAAUACGUUCCCGGGUCUUGUACACACCGCC
rnacentral:rRNA from 1 species